rnacentral:lncRNA from 1 species
UUUUUUUUUUUUUUUUUUUUUUGAGAUGGAGUCUUGCACUGGAGUGCAGUGGCAUGAUCUUGGCUCACUGCAACCUCUGCCUCCCAGGUUCAAGUGAUUCUCCUGCCUCAGUCUCCCGAGUAGCUGGGAUUACAGGCACCUGCCACCACGCCUAGCUAAUUUUUUGUAUUUUUAGUAGAGAAGAGGUUUCACCAUGUUGGCCAGGCUGGUCUUGAACUCCUGACCUUGUGAUUUGCCCACCUUGGCCUCCCGAAGUGUUGAGAUUACAGGUGUUAGCCAGCACACCUGGCCUUUCUGAUAGAUUUUAAUGAGGUUUAGAGUCCUUCUGGGAAGCUAGAUUGGCACCACUCUGCUGUUAUUUUUUAGAUGUGUUCAGUAACCUUUAACCAGACAUUUAAGGGCACAACACUCUUUAAGCCUUAUGCUAUCCUAAUAAUCUUUAAACCAGAUAUUCCUCUUUUCAAAUUCUAGCUGAAUAAUAUUUAUUAAGUCAUUUUUUCCUCCCAAAAGUAAAUUUUUGAACUAGUUUUUUUUUGAAGUCUUUUCCCUUCCACCAAGCUUGAAAUAAAAUGUGUGUCAAUGUUCCAUUGAAUUUAUCUGAGAAACUGCUUUGACAGUAUUAUUAAUAUCACCAUUUUACAGACAAGAAAACCGUAGCCUGUGCAUUUAAGCGCUCCAUCGUACCUACACCCAGGGAGAGCAAAUUAAGCCAGCGUUCUAGGAAGCAACAAAGCAAAUCUGAACCCAAGAGGUCUGAGUCCCCAGUAAGAAAAGAAUCACUCAUUUCUUUUACUGGAAUCCCAUUAUUACCUGUUUUAUUUCAUAUUGAUUUGUGAAGACUGGUAGUCUGUGAUUCAUUCGGGCCCUCUUUUUGCCCCCAAGAUAUAUGUGUGCAGUUUACUCUCACUCUGCUUUCUAACUUUGAAAAGUUCUAAUUUGCUCUUUCAGUAAUUGAACCCAAUCUUGACUUGGGUGAAACUUUUCUCCAGUUUAUCAAGAGCCAUUUAAUCGAUUUUUAUGGUCUAGAGUGUCACUUUCUUGGCUCUUCAGCCCAUCAAGGCUGGAGCUUUAAUUCAUUAGUGUGUAUGGCUUAUGCCAAUCAACUCAACCAGAUUGUGUGGGUCUGCUGAGCUGAAGUAAAUUACUCAUUGGUUCUUGUGAGAAGAACCUUGAACAAGAUCACUGAGGGAUGCUAAAACAAUCUGGAUGCUUUUGGACUGGAGAAUGGGGGAUCUCUUUUCUAACUAACAAGCAUUAUAUUCUUAGAAUGAAAUCAAUUCCGUGGUGUACUGGAGUCAGUUCAAUCAACUCCUGUUACAUUUUCAGGAAAUUUGUGAAAUAGUUCAUGACAACUUUAUAGCUUUAAAAUGGCCAUUGUGGCUGUAUUUAUGCCACAGAAACUGGCAAAUGCCACAAAUCAGGGCUUUCUUUCCCCAUAGAGUCUGUUUUUAAACACUUAGCGAUGUUACCCAAACAAAACCAGGGUUCAUUUUCCUGGCAAGCAAUCAACAACUCUCCACAAGAACACAGGUUUUGAUCCAUAGGAGUUUUAUUACUCAUCACAAGUAAGGAGAGCACUGGGAGCGUUCUCUAAAGCAGUGUCUCUGUGAGGGAAAGUGACAGGAGAGUUUUAUGGGGCGA